UGGCACAAAAGAGCUUACUUCCAAGGUGAAGGAAGGUGGAUAUGAUUACAAGGUAAAUGAAACUGUCAAUGUUGUUGCUGCAAAAACAACAGAGAUUGGACAUAGGACAUGGGGGAUUAUGAAGGGAGUCAUGGCUAUAGCAUCACAGAAAGUUGAGGAGUACACUAAAGAAGGUGGCUGGAAGACUGAUAACUGGCAACGAAAU
rnacentral:misc_RNA from 1 species